AGAGUUUGAUCCUGGCUCAGAACGAACGUUGGCGGCGUGGAUGAGGCAUGCAAGUCGAACGCGAAAGCCGCAAGGUGAGUAGAGUGGCGGACGGGCGAGUAACACGUAAUCAAGCUGCCUGCGAGACGGGAAUAACUUCGGGAAACCGAAGCUAAGACCCGAUGGUCUGCACGGAUCGCAUGGUUUGUGCAGUAAAUGGGCGGGAUCCUCCGGGAUCGCCUGCUCGCAGAGGUGAUUGCGGCCCAUCAGCUAGUUGGUAGGGUAAUGGCCUACCAAGGCUACGACGGGUAGCCGGCCUUAGAGGGUGGCCGGCCGCACUGGGACUGAGACACUGCCCAGACUCCUACGGGAGGCUGCAGUCGAGAAUCUUCCGCAAUGGGCGCAAGCCUGACGGAGCGACGCCGCGUGGAGGACGAAGGCCUUCGGGUUGUAAACUCUUGUCACGAGUUAAGAAGGGCAUGCAGCGAACAGCUGUAGGCUUUGACGUAAGCUCGAGAGGAAGCACUGGCUAACUCUGUGCCAGCAGCCGCGGUAAUACAGAGAGUGCAAACGUUGUUCGGAAUUACUGGGCUUGAAGCGCACGUAGGCGGCGUUGUAAGUGUCGGGUGAAAUCCCACGGCUCACCCGUGGAACUGCCCGGCAUACUGCGAUGCUAGAGUGUGGUAGGGGAGAGCGGAACUCCUGGUGGAGCGGUGAAAUGCGUAGAUAUCAGGAGGAACACCGGUGGCGAAGGCGGCUCUCUGGUCCACAACUGACGCUGAGGUGCGAAAGCUAGGGGAGCAAACGGGAUUAGAUACCCCUGUAGUCC
rnacentral:rRNA from 1 species